UGGGGAAUAUUGCACAAUGGGGGAAACCCUGAUGCAGCGACGCCGCGUGAGUGAAGAAGUAAUUCGUUAUGUAAAGCUCUAUCAGCAGGGAAGACGAAGACGGUACCUGACUAAGAAGCACCGGCUAAAUACGUGCCAGCAGCCGCGGUAAUACGUAUGGUGCAAGCGUUAUCCGGAUUUACUGGGUGUAAAGGGUGCGUAGGUGGCAUGGCAAGUCAGAAGUGAAAGCACGGGGCUCAACCCCGUAACUGCUUUUGAAACUGUCAGGCUUGAGUACAGGAGAGGAAAGCGGAAUUCCUGGUGUAGCGGUGAAAUGCGUAGAUAUCAGGAGGAACACCGGUGGCGAAGGCGGCUUUCUGGACUGUAACUGACACUGAGGCACGAAAGCGUGGGGAGCAAACAGG
rnacentral:rRNA from 1 species